ACACACAAGCCUCCUGCACAAUUACCUUUUAUUUGCAUGACAAACAUUUACAUUAUUAAUGACACCAGAAAUGAAGGUAACAAUAUAUGUUUUUCCUGCUGAGCAACCUACCCAUUUCGCAAUGCCUUUUGCUUUUGCSCAUUGACGUUGUAUGACCAAUAUUCUCCACUUUACAUUUAAACUUUAGACAAUAAAAUCAUAUGCAGAAUGUAUUKGUUUUACUGUCACACCAUUAGUUUWACUGUCACAACACCACACAUGUAYGGGAUAUUUGAAGUAGCCAGUUGUUACUGGAGAGAGCGAGGGAGAAGGAGCCAGUCAGAGCGCACMACGAGACGUGGCCGGUAGCAGUCAGUCAACGAGGGUAAUAUCCCGGUGCGAGCCAGCGCACGGGCAUACAGAGCGAGAGGAGGGRACCCGUCCCGGACACUUUACAGUAGGCUGGCUACCUCCUGUGUUACAAAUUCAUAUARGAAGAAAAGCAAUCAGGUGGUCCUGAAUGGAAAUMUGCAGAAUUUCUUUACAACUACAAAAAGGCGAAUAAAACGGUUCCAUGACUUUAUGGAGACAUUUUCAUUUGUAAUUCYCGAGACAUUUCUUCCCAUUCUUUCCAAGAAGUGACGCAACAUCAACACUCCCAGUAAACUGGACACAGGAAUAUUUGUUGUGGUACAGAGCUACACCAGAGCACCCAGACAGACCAAGUCUCAAGGAAAAGGUUGGCAAGGACACAGGAGAGGCGUCAUGGGAGGAACAAAACGGGAUAAGAAACCAGACGGGAUAAGAAACCAGACGGGAUAAGAAACCAGACGGGAUAAGAAACCAGACGACUGACUGAGCGAAAGAAGAAAACGUCAGAGAAAGAAGGAAAGAGAGAAGGAUUGUGCGUUCUCUACUUUCUCAGAAGUGCAGCCCCUAAAUUCCUGUUACUAUGCCUGAGAGAGGGAGGGCAGCAGACCAGUCAAAAUGAACCCCUACGUCACCUCUCACUUUAGGAGGGAUCUCUUUCCCCACUUCCACUUGUUGUAGAGGCUUCUCUUCACCCCUCUCUUACUGUUUGUGUGACAUGACAACACCUGGCUCUGUGUAAACUUUGGACAACAGGUAACACCUGUCUCUUGUGUAAACCUUGGACAACAGGUAACACCUGUCUUUGUGUAAACCUAGGACAGAAGGAACAUCUGUCUCUGUGUGAACCUAGGACAGAAGAUAACAUCUGUCUCUGUGUAAACCUAGGACAGUAGGUAACAUCUGUCUCUGUGUGAACCUAGGACACCAGGUAACGACUGUUGCCUUGGUAUUCUCCUGUGUUGUGCCUUUGUUGCUCCUAGUCAGGGUGUUACACUGUAAACUGUCCUCGGUGAUCUGGUCAAGGUGUUACACUGUAAACUGUCCUCAGGGAGCUGGUGAAGGGUUGAACUGUUCCUCAGGCAACCUAGUAACAUGUUUAGCUUGUUCACUGGGGGUCAAAGACUUGCCAGUGUUCGAAACCACAGUUCACUGGAAAUGUGUACGGAAGGUAAAGUCUAAUAUCGCAACCAAACAUUUUUUGUGUCAUUUGGAUUGCCCUGAAUCAAACCUUUUGAGUUUUCUUUGUUUUUAUCCCUAAGGGAUUUGGCAUGCAACAAACAAAAAAAUCUCUCUUCCCAAAAUAUUACCUUUGUUUGCCUCAGUGGGUCGUUGUUUUUACCCAGUUUUCCUUGCACGUCCUCUGCCCAUUAUUGCCACAUUUUUCAAGGAAUUAGACUGGAAGCUUUUCUGAAUGGAUAACAUGUGUGUUCUCUGUAAGCAGGGGUGUUGAG